rnacentral:tRNA from 4 species
GGCCCCAUCGUCUAGAGGCCUAGGACGGCGGGUUUUCAUCCCGUAAACCCCGGUUCGAAUCCGGGUGGGGUCACUA